GCCUGAGUGCGGUCGGCGCCAGAAGACAGCGCGCGGAUUGCCCCCAAGUUACGGAGGCAGGGACCGAGUUCGAAGGAAAAGCCACUACAAGAACCGGGUCGCGAGAGUGCAAUCGCCUCCGGUCUACCAGACCUCUGGACCGAGGUUCCCAGGGCGGCCGCCCUCAAAGGACAGGGGUUGGCCAGGGGCAGAGGAUGGGCAGCUGUUUUGGGUUCCUGCGUUGCUCUCCCAAGUUGUCACAAGGUGAUCCACGUAACUGAGUUACCACCUCCAGGAAAUCUCUCUGAUUUGGCUGCACAUAUUUUCAUUUCUGCAUGACUGGAAGAAAUUAAUUUUCCUUCCUACGCAAGGAUCUGGAGACGCCGGCAGGCUGGGUCAGUAAUCCGCAGGAUCCAAGCCCGUGAGGCUGCCCUAGGG
rnacentral:lncRNA from 1 species